rnacentral:lncRNA from 1 species
GUUUCUCCACAGGAGAGUGAACACGCACGUUUCUGGGUAUAGGGAAGGAUGUAUUUACAUGCAAUCUUCACUGAUCCUUAAACAGUGUCCUUUAAAGCUGAGAGCACAGAGAUCUUGCAGAAAGUCAGACUUGCUCCGGAGCAUCCGCCACAGAGAACAAUAUUCCAGGGAAAACCUUGACUUGGUACCUGCUGUAGCUGAGACGAUGUGUGAUUCCUGGGUUCUCAUUCUCAGCACCAGGGCUGAAAGACUCCUGUGUUGUGGUGAACUUAGAAACAAUAAAUGCAGAAGCAGCGGCCGGUG